GGAGCUGGAUAGCUCAGUUGGUUAGAGCGUGGUGCUUAUAGUGAUAAGAUUGCAGGUUGGAUCCCUGUACGGGACAGCUGCA